GGCAAGUUACCCAAGCGGCCAAAGGGAUCUGACUGUAAAUCAGACGUCUCAGACUUCACAGGUUCGAAUCCUGUACUUGCCACCA
rnacentral:tRNA from 2 species